GACGAACGCUGGCGGCGUGCCUAAUACAUGCAAGUAGAACGCUGAAGCGAGGAGCUUGCUCUUCUUGGAUGAGUUGCGAACGGGUGAGUAACGCGUAGGUAACCUGCCUUGUAGCGGGGGAUAACUAUUGGAAACGAUAGCUAAUACCGCAUAACAAUGGAUGACACAUGUCAUUUAUUUGAAAGGGGCAAUUGCUCCACUACAAGAUGGACCUGCGUUGUAUUAGCUAGUAGGUGAGGUAAUGGCUCACCUAGGCGACGAUACAUAGCCGACCUGAGAGGGUGAUCGGCCACACUGGGACUGAGACACGGCCCAGACUCCUACGGGAGGCAGCAGUAGGGAAUCUUCGGCAAUGGGGGCAACCCUGACCGAGCAACGCCGCGUGAGUGAGGAAGGUUUUCGGAUCGUAAAGCUCUGUUGUAAGUCAAGAACGGGUGUGAGAGUGGAAAGUUCACACUGUGACGGUAGCUUACCAGAAAGGGACGGCUAACUACGUG
rnacentral:rRNA from 1 species